CGUUAGCUCAGUUGGUAGAGCAGUUGGCUUUUAACCAAUUGGUCGUAGGUUCGAAUCCCACACGACCCACCA
rnacentral:tRNA from 2 species